rnacentral:rRNA from 1 species
UACGAAGGGGGCUAGCGUUGCUCGGAAUUACUGGGCGUAAAGGGCGCGUAGGCGGGUCGUUAAGUUAGAGGUGAAAGCCCAGGGCUCAACCCCUGGAAUUGCCUUUAAUACUGUCGACCUUGAGUAUGGCAGAGGUGUGUGGAACUCCGAGUGUAGAGGUGAAAUUCGUAGAUAUCGGAAGAACACCGAGUGGCGAAGGCGG